rnacentral:tRNA from 1 species
CUUAGCUCAGUUGGUUAGAGCGUCGUACUAAUAUUCAAUCACUGAAUAUCAAGUAAUGCGAAGGUCGCCAGUUCGACUCUGGUAGUGAGCA